GAUUAUGGCUCAGGAUGAACGCUAGCGGCAGGCUUAACACAUGCAAGUCGAGGGGCAUCGGGAGUAGCAAUACUUGCCGGCGACCGGCGCAAGGGUGCGUAACGCGUGAGCAACAUGCCCGUAUCAGGGGGGAUAAUCCAUGGAAACGUGGUCUAAUACCCCAUAGUAAUUAUGUAAGGCAUCUUAUAUAAUUUAAAGCUUUGGUGGAUACGGAUUGGCUCGCGUGACAUUAGCUAGAUGGUAAGGUAACGGCUUACCAUGGCUACGAUGUCUAGGGGUUCUGAGAGGAAGGCCCCCCACACUGGAACUGAGACACGGUCCAGACUCCUACGGGAGGCAGCAGUGAGGAAUAUUGGACAAUGGAUGGAAAUCUGAUCCAGCCAUGCCGCGUGCCAGGAAGACGGCCCUAUGGGUUGUAAACUGCUUUUGUAUGGGAGCAAUAAGGGCUACGCGUAGUCCGAUGAGAGUACCAUACGAAUAAGCACCGGCUAACUCCGUGCCAGCAGCCGC
rnacentral:rRNA from 1 species